rnacentral:rRNA from 1 species
UACGGGGGGGCAAGCGUUGUUCGGAAUUACUGGGCGUAAAGGGCUCGUAGGUGGCCAACUAAGUCGGACGUGAAAUCCCUCAGCUUAACUGGGGAACUGCGUCCGAUACUGGAUGGCUCGAGUUUGGGAGAGGGAUGCGGAAUUCCAGGUGUAGCGGUGAAAUGACGUAGAUAUCUGGAGGAACACCGGUGGCGAAGGCGGCAUCCUGGACCAACACUGACACUGAGGAGCGAAAGCCAGGGGAGCAAACCGGGAGUUAGAAAACCCC